ACAGGAGACGUGAAGAGUGCACGGUGGAUGCCUUGGCCUAGGAUGGCGAUGAAGGACGCGAUUAACCUGCGAAAAGCUUCGGGGAGGCGGUUUAUAGCCUUUGAUCCGGAGAUCUCCGAAUGGGGAAACCUAUCCGCUUCGGCGGAUGCUCUUGGGGUAACGCCCAUGAGUGCAAACCUCGGGAAGUGAAACAUCUCAGUACCGAGAGGAAAAGAGAACAACAUGAGUUGCGUUCUCUUCAAGCGUUAUGUUCGUUUGAAGGGAACGCGACUCGCGUGAUACCCCGAGUAGCGGCGAGCGAAAAGGGAAAAGCCCAAACUUCUUUCUUCGGAAAGGAGGGUUGUAAGGUAUGCGUGUCGUACUUGUACGAGAAGAGUUACAAAUUGUCUGUAUAGUCGAAGUUGCUGGGAAGCAACGCCACAGAGGGUAAUGGCCCCGUAGAUGAAAUACAGACGACUCUGUUGCGCAUAUUCUUGAGUAGCUCGAGACAUGAAUAGCUCGAGUGAAUCUGCCGGAACUAACCGGUAAGGCUAAAUACAUCCUAUGACCGAUAGCGAACUAGUACCGUGAGGGAAAGGUGAAAAGAACCCCGAGAGGGGAGUGAAAUAGAACUGAAACCGUGCACUUACAAAGGGUCGGAGCGGAAGUCCUUCGGGAUUCUCCGUGACGGCGUGCCUAUUGAAGAAUGAGCCGGCGAGUGUGUGUAUCUUGCGUAGCUAAGCCCUUCCGGGGCGGAGCUUAAGGGAAACCGAGCGUUAAUAGCGCGACUGUAGGAUACAUACGACCCGAAGCCAGAUGAGCUUACCAUGAGCAGGGUGAAGUUUGUCGAAAGACAGAUGGAGGCCCGAACCCGUUCGUCGUACAACGCGUUGGGAUGACUUGUGGUAAGGAGUGAAAAGCUAAUCGAAUCUGGGAAUAGCUGGUUCUCUCCGAAACAGCUUUUGGGCUGGCGUCGCUAUAUGUGUGCCUGGGGGUAGAGCACUGGAAGGGACCAACAGGGAGAAAUCUCGUGGUUCCUAUCAAACUCCGAAUACCAGGCGCCCGAGCGGCAGUUAGACGGUGGGGGCGAAGCUCCACACGUCGAGAGGGGAAGAGCCCCGAUCGCCAGUUAAGGCCCCAAAAUCGACACUCAGUACAUCACAAGGAAGUGCGGAUUCAUUGACAGCGAGGAUGUUGGCUUAGAAG
rnacentral:rRNA from 1 species